ACGGCCGGCGCUGCGCAGCUAACCUGCGCUGAAGGGUCUCCCGAUGUCUGUCGGCUCCUUCACACCCUCAUCCGCUUGCUGAGCAUCUCCGGUCGGAGCCUUGGGCCAGUGACCGAACCGCUCCCGGGUAUCUCCAAGUCAGUCGGACUUGGAGUGGUGACUUCACCUUGCAGGCAGGGCACAGAUUAGCGGCGGGAAGUACGUUCACGCUGUUCUGCAGUCUCCGCCACCAUCCACAGGAUGCUUACACCACUGAUGGCUUCACAGCGGACUGCCUUCCGACGGGAGGCUCUGUCUUCACCCUCUCCUUUCCCAGCGGUCAGUCACCACGGAGUCCCCACCUGCUGGGUCCUGAGGCACAGAAGGGCCCUUCCCUCCCUGAGCUUCUAUUUUAGCAGGGGAGACAGCAAGCAAACGAGGACCCCAACCGCUCAUUUCCGUUGAAUUAACCGCUGUCAGGCCUCUCCCAGCGUAGACACAAAAAUAAAACCAGUACCCUUUGCCCA